GAUGAACGCUAGCGGCAGGCCUAAUACAUGCAAGUCGAACGGUUGUAUUGUUUAGCAAUAGAUGGUGCAAUAGUGGCGCACGGGUGCGUAACGCGUAUGCAACCUACCUCUAACUGGGGGAUAACCCCGGGAAACUGGGAUUAAUACCGCAUAAGAUAGUAUUGCUUCAUGGCAGAGCUAUUAAAGAUUUAUCGGUUAGAGAUGGGCAUGCGUGACAUUAGUUAGUUGGUGAGGUAACGGCUCACCAAGA
rnacentral:rRNA from 1 species